GCCUGGGUGGCUUGGUCGGUUAAGCGUCUGACUUCGGCUCAGGUCAUGAUCUCACGGUCCGUGAGUUCGAGCCCCACGUCAGGCU
rfam:Felis catus isolate Cinnamon breed Abyssinian chromosome D3, whole genome shotgun sequence.